rnacentral:tRNA from 1 species
GCGGGUGUUAGUCCCGCUCUUACCAA